GAUGAAGAACGUAGUGAAAUGCGAUACGUAAUGUGAAUUGCAGAAUUCAGUGAAUCAUCGAGUCUUUGAACGCACAUUGCGCCCCCUGGUAUUCCGGGGGGCAUGCCUGUCCGAGCGUCAUUGCUGCCCUCAAGCACGGCUUGUGUGUUGGGCCUCCGCCCCCCGGCUCCCGGGGGGCGGGCCCGAAAGGCAGCGGCGGCACCGCGUCCGGUCCUCGAGCGUAUGGGGCUUCGUCACCCGCUCCGUAGGCCCGGCCGGCGCCCGCCGGCGACCCCCCUCAAUCUUUCCAGGUUGACCUCGGAUCAGGUAGGGGUACCCGCUGAACUUAAGCAUAUCAAUAAGCGGAGGA
rnacentral:misc_RNA from 1 species